UCUUCAAACGCAUUAGAAAGUCUACUUAUUUCUUUCCUUUUUUUUUCAGUGAUCUCCUUCCUGUAACCCUCUCUCCUUUAGCCUCUGUCCUUUGAAUAGACCCAUAAGUCUCCACGUCUUUUUCUUUUAAGAAACUUUACAUCUUCUUAGUCUGUCUGUUAGUAUCUUUCUGUUAAUUACAUUAUUUUCCCCAAUGAGACACACAAUAAAUAGUCAAUCCCUUUCAUCUGAGCUGUCCCAGAAUUAGUGGAAGUCCCAGGAUGCUUGUGCCGGUCUACAGACGGGAAGCCCUGGACUUAAUAAGUGAAAUCCAAGUACCUUUCCUUUACAUUGUGGUUGUAGUAGAGGCUGCCGGUGCCCUGCCCUGAUCCCCAGGUAUUGUAAGUGUUGCUGCUAACAGCUCAAACUUACACCCUUCUCCAGAGAACUGUUCUUGGCCAAUGGGAGCCACCUGACUGGAAAUGCCUAGGAGGCUAUAUUUCCCCUCAAGGGCAUCAUUGUGCACUGAAUGACUGACCGAUAAAAGGAUACAAAAUCUGAGCCCCUUUGUUUCAAAGGGGACAAAUCUGUGGUGUCAUUCACACUCCAGAACUUCCCAUGGGAUCAGGCUGAAGUUAGACUUCAACUGAAACUUCAUCUUUGUUUCGCCUCUUCCCCUGCUCUAUCCCGCUUCCCUUCCCUUCUCCUGAAAGCACAUUGGCACUGUGUCUCUCAUAUGAGAAUCCCUGCCUCCGUCUCUGCUUCCGGGAACACAACGUAAGACAGUGGUGAACAUUAGACAUUUUUUGACUUCCUAGCAUUCAUUCUUCCUUCCUAAUAGCACCAGAUAGGGGUGUGGGGGAGAUUGACCUCCCUGCCACUCCAUUGUGGACGGUCUUGACGUGACUGUAAAUCUGGGAAGCUGAAGGGGUUUGGGGAGGCUCCUUCCAGUAGACCUCUCCUUUCACCGCCUUGUACAGCAGGCCCAGGCAUGUGACCUAGACUCAGCCAAUUUGACGUUCUCUCCUGGGAUUAUGAAUCUUGAGUGAGUAAUACAAAGAUAGAAUGGCUCAUUGAAGUUCGUUGACCUCAUCACAGGCUCCUGCUAGCCUAUUUCUCCUUCUCAGCCUUUCUGUGCUUCCUGCCUCUUAGCUUCCAAAGCCUUGCUUCCAACCCCUUUCCAAACUACCUGGUAGGCUUUUGUGAGAGCUCCAAAUCCUUCCAAUAAUUUCCCUUUUGUAUAAGGUCUCUCACUUGGGUUCUCUUGCUUUUAUCCAAAAGAAUCCUAAGUGAUAACAGUUAUCUUACUUUCUUUUGUCUAAGACCAGCAUGAAAAAAGAUCUGGGACCGGUCACUAAUUCAGAAGAGGGUAGACACAGGGCUUCCGAGCUUGGCGAGUAAGAGCCUACCUGGACAGCUCUCCUUGCUGCAGAGGGGAGAGUGAUUCAACUGCGUGAAGACAGCUGUACUUCCGA